GAUGAACGCUGGCGGCGUGCCUAAUACAUGCAAGUCGAGCGAACAGACGAGGAGCUUGCUCCUCUGACGUUAGCGGCGGACGGGUGAGUAACACGUGGAUAACCUACCUAUAAGACUGGGAUAACUUCGGGAAACCGGAGCUAAUACCGGAUAAUAUAUUGAACCGCAUGGUUCAAUAGUGAAAGACGGUUUUGCUGUCACUUAUAGAUGGAUCCGCGCCGCAUUAGCUAGUUGGUAAGGUAACGGCUUACCAAGGCAACGAUGCGUAGCCGACCUGAGAGGGGGAUAGGCCAAACUGGAACUGAGACACGGUCCACACUCCUACGGGAGGCAGGAGUAGGGAAUCUUCCGCAAUGGGCGAAAGCCUGACGGAGCAACGCCGCGUGAGUGAUGAAGGUCUUCGGAUCGUAAAACUCUGUUAUUAGGGAAGAACAAAUGUGUAAGUAACUAUGCACGUCUUGACGGUACCUAAUCAGAAAGCCACGGCUAACUACGUG
rnacentral:rRNA from 1 species